rnacentral:lncRNA from 1 species
AGGUCAUUAAAGAUUGCAUAUUUUGGCUUUAAUAUUGAUUCACUUAUAGGAUCUUUGCAUCGGAACUAAACACAUUUUUUUUUUUUAAAAACAGUUAUUGGCAUGACACGGGUUAUGUUCUUAUCAUAUAUCUUAUAAUAGUAUGAUACUAAACCCCUAACCGGAGGGAUUGUGCCUGAUAUUCAUAUGAUGAAGACAUAAUCUUUCAAUCAGUUUAAUUGAGGUCUGGAGCUGGCAUGUCAGUUAACUGCUAGUAGUCUGUUGUUAUUUGUGUAUUAUUGUCAUUUUAUUUAUUUUCUUUUGUUACAUCUUUUGACAUCGGACUCAGACUUCUCUUAAACUGAAUUUUAAUGUGCGUAUUGUUAUGCGUUUUUACUUUCUACAUUGGCUAGAGGUAUAGGGGGAGGGUUGAGAUCUCAUAAACAUGUUUAACCCCCGCGCAAUUUUGCACCUGUCCCAAGUCAGAAGCCUCUGGCCUUUGUUCGUCUUGUAUGAUUUUUAAUUUUAGUUUCUUGUGUAUAAUUCGGAGUUUAGUAUGACGUCCAUUAUCACUGUACUAGUAUACAUAUUUUAGGGGCCAGCUGAAGGACACCUACGGGUGGGGGAAUUCUCGCUACAUUGAAGACCCAUUGGUGGCCUUCGGCUGUUGUCUGCUCUAUGGUCGGGUUGUUGUCGCUUUGACACAUUCCCCAUUUCCUUUCUCAAUUUUAUGUAAAAGUUU